GUGCUAUUGUUAAAAGAAUAUUGAGUUUUCUUAUAUAUCUACAAGAAGGCUAAUUGACCGUACAAAUUUACUUGUUUUCCUGUACACAAAGCAAGUGCUUCGGGCCCUGUAGAGGAGCCAAUGAGUUUGGUAAUACCAGUGAUGCCAGCCGAAAUGAGUUGGUAAUACCAGUGAUGCCAGCCGAAAGUGACGCUGAAAUUGAAGGUGAAGAAGUUCGUUUAAGGAUCUCAGGCGGUGAAAUGAAAGGAAUCACUGAAGCUCCACACUACAUAGAAAACGAAAAGGAUCCAGUCCUCAAGGAGUUGCGGAGCUUGAAUCCCCUGUCUUCCUGGCGGUGUAUCUAUAGAGUUCCUAAGCGACUACGGCAAGGAAAUGAGAAGGCAUAUACACCUCAAGUAGUCUCUAUAGGCCCACUUCACCAUGGCGAGGAACCCUUAAAAGGCAUGGAAGAGCACAAAAUUAAGGUACCUGCGAAGUUUUCUAGAUCGAACCGGGGUAAGCUU